UCGAACGGUAACAGGUCUUCGGAUGCUGACGAGUGGCGAACGGGUGAGUAAUACAUCGGAACGUGCCCGAGAGUGGGGGAUAACGAAGCGAAAGCUUUGCUAAUACCGCAUACGAUCUCAGGAUGAAAGCAGGGGACCGCAAGGCCUUGCGCUCACGGAGCGGCCGAUGGCAGAUUAGGUAGUUGGUGGGAUAAAAGCUUACCAAGCCGACGAUCUGUAGCUGGUCUGAGAGGACGACCAGCCACACUGGGACUGAGACACGGCCCAGACUCCUACGGGAGGCAGCAGUGGGGAAUUUUGGACAAUGGGCGCAAGCCUGAUCCAGCCAUGCCGCGUGCAGGAUGAAGGCCUUCGGGUUGUAAACUGCUUUUGUACGGAACGAAAAGACUCUGGUUAAUACCUGGGGUCCAUGACGGUACCGUAAGAAUAAGCACCGGCUAACUACGUGCCAGCAGCCGCGGUAAUACGUAGGGUGCGAGCGUUAAUCGGAAUUACUGGGCGUAAAGCGUGCGCAGGCGGUUAUGUAAGACAGA
rnacentral:rRNA from 1 species